rnacentral:rRNA from 1 species
CUGGGGUACGAGGCCAUGGCGGCGCCGGCGCCCGUCGAGGCCGAGGCGCUGCUGCUGCCGGCCGUGCAGGCGCUGGCCUGGGCAGCGCUGCUGGCGCUCGCGCUGCGGGCGCGUGCCGGCGGCCGGGGCAGGUCCCCAGCGCUCGUCCGGGUCUGGUGGGUGCUCUCCUCACUCCCCGCCGAGAUCCUUGAUUGGUGAUCCCAGCUCUUCGUGCUCGCCUCGCCCCGCUCCGCCGUGUCAGGUGCUCUUCCUCUCGCUCUCUUCCAUCCCCUCCUUUCCUUAUUAAUGUCGCCGCCACCUUGGCCGCAGCCAACCGAUGGAAGAUGGAGUAGGGAUCGGGAGAGGAACAAGGAGUAAGAGGAGACCACUUGAUGGUGGCUAGAGAACCACAUCC